rnacentral:misc_RNA from 1 species
UCUCCGUAGGUGAACCUGCGGAGGGAUCAUUACUGAGUGAGGGUCUAACCGCCCGACCUCCAACCCUUUGUGAAUCGCACUCGUUGCUUCGGGGGCGACCCUGCCGUCCGCGGCGGAGCGCCCCCGGGGUCAAUCAAACCCUGCGUAACUAAGUCGUCGGAGUUUAAACAAACUAAACAAAACUUUCAACAACGGAUCUCUUGGUUCGGGCAUCGAUGAAGAACGCAGC